ACACUGCCUUCCGUGAGCUUCCUGAAGCCUGCUUGCCUGAAUACUCGGUUUCCCUGUAAGGAUCUGCAGACCAGCAGUAGCAGCAGCUGUUGGUGCAGCCCUAGAGAAGACCCAGCCUACAUCUGCCUCUUCUUCUAACUGAACAACAUUGAAUUGGUUCAAUCUUGCAUCACAGAUCAUGUUUUCUAGAGUUUGGAUAAUUGCUUCUGUUUCUCUGUGAAUAUGAAGUGGCCAUUGUGUUCAUUUAAGUAUCCCACAUUACAGAGACAUUAAUCCAGCCAAGGUCUCACUAGGGCUGGGCAGAACAGAGAACUGGUCUGUGUCUUACUUAGCCUGGUUAUAUUUUCCAGAAUGUUUGGGGCUUUUUUCUUUUUCCCAGCAGCAUGGCAUUAUCAGCUAUAAUAUUAUUUGUUAACCACUUCUGUAGAACUUCGAUUAAGUCAAUUACAUUUAUCUUGGUUGUUAUUUCUCCUUGAAUAUAACAAGUUGAUUCUCUGGGAUAGGUUGAUACAAUUUUUAAGAACAUACCUAUAAUAUAUUGAAAUGGGGCUGGAAUCCAACAUUUCUUCUGAAGUAGUUGCAGUUCCCUUUGCCCUUAAGUUUCUGCACACUUGGUAGUUAUGUUUAUGGACAUCCAUCAGUUCUCCAAUACCAUUUGGAAUGGCUCAUGUUUGACAAGUGUUCCCCAAAUUCAGAGCCAAGGUCUGAGCUUUUGCCCAAGUAUCUGACCUCACUGGGGUGCCCAGGCAGUAGCAGAGUGGCCUGGGCCACAGAUAGCAGGAGUCUGGCACUUCUUUGGGAGAAAUGGAUAGUCUAUUCCUGACAGCUACAGUAGUUUUAAUGAAACACCCCAAGUGUGGGAAUGUAAAGAUGACUAGAAAUCUUGAAGAAUAACAAUUUAGUCUGAAAAUGCUGCUCUCCCAAUGGAAAGAUUGCCAGCAAGGCAAAGAUUUAAAAAAUACAUCUCACCACUCUUAAUAUGAAAGGGUGUUUCAGAUGAAAUGAGAAAAGAUCCAUUCAGAUCCCUUAUAAAUUCUGCUCUGAUAGCAGCUGUUCCUUCCUCUCUGUCAGCGACCUACAGUGCCUACACCAAUUCCUGGUGGACAGAUGCCCAUGCCAGUAAAAUACAGAAGUGCAGCUCUGCUGAAGAUCACAGGUUGAACACACACUCAUGCAGAAAUGACCCUCUUAACCUUAGGGGAUUGUAUAUCACCAAAGCGGUGUCAGGAGAUGUGUACAGCAUCGUAAAGAAACCAAUGCUCUCACUGAAAGAGAGAUCACAAAGCACAGUGCACCCAAUCCAUACUGGAUUUCACCUCUCGCCACCCUGCUCAAAAGUACUUAAUUUGACAUGAAGGACAAAAAAGGAUGGAUUUGAAAAAUGUGUAAGAAUGACUUUCAUUGUUAACAUGCACUCAGUGUAAGAAUUUGACGUGACCUUGGUUUCUCAUUUUUCCCUUGUACAGUGUUUCGUUGCUAAUUCCUCCCUUAAAAGGAGGGUAUUUCUUUUCUUAAAAGAUAAUACUAAUCUUAAGCCUCUUUUUCUAAUGUUAUAAUUGCAAUCAUGCUGAUAUAUUCUCCCAAUCUUUUGCAGCCUACCUCUAAAUUAUUUGUUGAAAAAGUGUUAUCUUU